GAUGAACGCUGGCGGCGUGCCUAACACAUGCAAGUCGAGCGAACAGACGAGGAGCUCGCUCCUCUGCCGUUAGCGGCGGACGGGUGAGUAACGCGUGGAUAACCUACCUCUAUGACUGGGAUAACAUCGGGAAACCGGAGCUAAUACUAGAUAAUAUAUCGAACCGCAUGGUUCAAUAGUGAAAGGCGGCUUUCCCGUCACUUAUAGAUGGAUCCGCGCCGCAUUAGCUAGUUGGUAAGGUAACGGCAUACCAAGGCGACGAUGCGUAGCCGACCUGAGAGGAUGAUCAGCCACACUGGAACUGAGACACGGUCCAGACUCCUACGGGAGGCAGCAGUAGGGAAUCUUCGACAAUGGGCGAAAGCCUGACGGAGCAACACCGCGUGAGUGAUGAAGGUCUUCGGAUCGUAAAACUCUGUUAUUAGGGAAGAAAAAAUGUGUAAGUAACUAUGCACGUCUUGACGGUACCUAAUCAGAAAGCAACGGCUAACUACGUG
rnacentral:rRNA from 1 species